CUUGGUGGAAUUCAAGACAAGAUUAAUUUAUACAUGGGACAUAGAUACACGAAAAUCCUUAAAAAUUACUUCUUGCCACGCCUGAAGCAGGCUUCUUUGCCUUGGGUUUUCAUGGGUACAUUGGACGGUUUUUGCCUGCUGGACGGGAUCCGUGCACGGCUUUAUUGCCGUGCCGUGGGGCAGUGGAAACUGGAAAACAGCACGGCGUGCCGUAUGCCGUGCCGGAAUGCCGUGCACGGUCGCCGUGCCGGAUGCGGUGUAAACGGGCCUUAACGUUAGUGAAAGUUGGAAGUGUAUCAAAGUUUUUCCGAAAUUCAGAAAUAUUGGUUGUUAUCACCUUAGGUUGUGUUGAUAUUGUGAGUUUUGAUAAUUCAAAAAUUUGACAGGUAGUACCUUUGAAGUGAAAGGCAGUGAUAUUGGCCAAGUGCAUUGAGCCGUUACUAACUGAUUUCCAGAAAUUUGCAGUUGCAGAUCGUAAGCAGAUAUGAGCCUCUCUUGGCAGCAGAUGAUGAUGAUGGUGAUGAGGAUGAUAAUGAUGAUCAGAACAUUGAAACCUUCAAACAGAGAAGACGAGUAAAGGGAGCAAAGAAGAG